rnacentral:rRNA from 1 species
CGGGAUUAGAUACCCCGGUAGUCCACGCCGUAAACGAUGUCUACUAGCCGUUGGAGGACUUGAUCCUUUAGUGGCGCAGCUAACGCGAUAAGUAGACCGCCUGGGGAGUACGGUCGCAAGAUUAAAACUCAAAUGAAUUGACGGGGGCCCGCACAAGCGGUGGAGCAUGUGGUUUAAUUCGAAGCAACGCGAAGAACCUUACCUACUCUUGACAUCCAGUGAACUUUUGAGAGAUCAAUUGGUGCCUUCGGGAACACUGAGACAGGUGCUGCAUGGCUGUCGUCAGCUCGUGUUGUGAAAUGUUGGGUUAAGUCCCGUAACGAGCGCAACCCUUGUCCUUAGUUACCAUCAUUAAGUUGGGGACUCUAAGGAGACUGCCGGUGACAAACCGGAGGAAGGCGGGGACGACGUCAAGUCAUCAUGGCCCUUACGAGUAGGGCUACACACGUGCUACAAUGGCAUGUACAAAGGGUUGCCAAGCCGCGAGGUGGAGCUAAUCCCAUAAAGCAUGUCGUAGUCCGGAUUGGAGUCUGCAACUCGACUCCAUGAAGUCGGAAUCGCUAGUAAUCGUGAAUCAGAAUGUCACGGUGAAUACGUUCCCGGGCCUUGUACACACCGCCCGUCACACCAUGGGAGUGGGUUGCUCCAGAAGUAGAUAGCUUAACCUUCGGGAGGGCGUUUACCACGGAGUGAUUCAUGACUGGGGUGAAGUCGUAACAAGGUAGCCGUA